rnacentral:rRNA from 1 species
CACGGUCCAGACUCCUACGGGAGGCAGCAGUGGGGAAUAUUGCACAAUGGGCGCAAGCCUGAUGCAGCCAUGCCGCGUGUAUGAAGAAGGCCUUCGGGUUGUAAAGUACUUUCAGCGGGGAGGAAGGUGUUGUGGUUAAUAACCACAGCAAUUGACGUUACCCGCAGAAGAAGCACCGGCUAACUCCGUGCCAGCAGCCGCGGUAAUACGGAGGGUGCAAGCGUUAAUCGGAAUUACUGGGCGUAAAGCGCACGC